GUGUGUUCCAACUACAGAGGGAUCACACUCCUCAGCCUCCCUGGUAAGGUCUAUUCAGGGGUGCUGGAGAGGAGGGUCCGUCAGGAAGUCGAGCCUCAGAUUGAGGAGGAGCAGUGUGGUUUUCGUCCCGGCCGUGGAACAGUGGACCAGCUCUACACCCUUAGCAGGGUCCUUGAGGGUAUGUGGGAAUUCGCCCAACCAGUCUACAUGUGUUUUGUGGACUUGGAGAAGGCGUUUGACCGUGUCCCUCGGGGAGUUCUGUGGGGGGUGCUUCGUGGGUAUGGGGUACCGAACCCCCUGAUACGGGCUGUUCGGUCACUAUACCACCGAUGUCAGAGUUUGGUUCGCAUUGCCGGCAGUAAGUCGGAAUCGUUUCCAGUGGGGGUAGGACUCCGCCAAGGCUGCCCUUUGUCGCCGAUUCUGUUCAUAACCUUUAUGGACAGAAUUUCUAGGCGCAUCCGAAGCGUUGAGGGAGUCCGUUUUGGGGGCCUCAGUAUUACAUCCCUGCUUUUUGCAGAUGAUGUGGUGCUGUUGGCUCCUUCAAACGGGGCUCUACAACUCUCACUGGAGCGUUUCGCAGCCGAGUGUGAAGCGGUUGGGAUGAAAAUCAGCACCUCCAAAUCUGAAACCAUGGUCCUCAGUCGGAAAAGGGUGGAGUGCCCCCUCCGGGUCGGGGGGGAGAUCUUGCCCCAAGUGGAGGAGUUUAAGUAUCUUGGGGUCUUGUUCACGAGUGAGGGCAGGAGGGAGCGAGAGAUCGACAGGCGGAUCGGUGCAGCAUCUGCUGUGAUGCGGACGUUGUAUCGGUCUGUCGUGGUGAAGAAGGAGCUGAGCCAAAGGGCGAAGCUCUCAAUUUACCGGUCGAUCUACGUCCCAACCCUCAUCUAUGGCCACGAGCUAUGGGUCGUGACCGAAAGAACGAGAUCCCGGAUACAAGCGGCCGAAAUGAGUUUUCUCCGCAGGGUGUCCGGGCUCUCCCUUAGAGAUAAGGUGAGGAGCUCGGUCAUCCGGGAGGGGCUCAGAGUCGAGCCGCUUCUCCUCCACAUCGAGAGGAGCCAGAUGAGGUGGCUUGGGCAUCUGAUUCGGAUGCCUCCUGAGCGCCUCCCUGGUGAGGUGUUCCGGGCAUGUCCCACCGGGAGGAGACCCCGAGGAAGACCCAGGACACGCUGGAGAGACUACGUCACCCAGCUGGCCUGGGAACGCCUCGGGAUCCCCCGGGGAGAGCUGGAAGAAGUAGCUAGGGAGAGGGAAGUCUGGGCUUCCCUGCUAAAGCUGUUGCCCCCGCGACCCGGCCCCGGAUAAGCGGAUGUACAGAAGUUAGAGAAUCACCUCUGUGGAAGACCACUACACCAACCGAAAGUCCUUGCCCUUGAGGCAUGCUAUUGGGCAUUUGUGGAAAAGUCCAUUCCAAUCUGGGAGCGCUUCCUUCUGGGCAAAGAACCACAUCCUACUGAUUGUCCUGGACCAUUGACCAA